rnacentral:siRNA from 1 species
GAAUGUGUAGUUGAGUCUCAGUA